AACGAACGCUGGCGGCAUGCCUAACACAUGCAAGUCGAACGAGACCUUCGGGUCUAGUGGCGCACGGGUGCGUAACGCGUGGGAACCCACCCUUAGGUUCGGAAUAACUCCCCGAAAGGGGUGCUAAUACCGGAUAAUGUCUUCGGACCAAAGAUUUAUCGCCUUUGGAUGGGCCCGCGUUGGAUUAGCUAGUUGGUAGGGUAAAAGCCUACCAAGGCGACGAUCCAUAGCUGGUCUGAGAGGAUGAUCAGCCACACUGGGACUGAGACACGGCCCAGACUCCUACGGGAGGCAGCAGUGGGGAAUAUUGGACAAUGGGCGAAAGCCUGAUCCAGCAAUGCCGCGUGAGUGAUGAAGGCCUUAGGGUUGUAAAGCUCUUUUACCCGGGAUGAUAAUGACAGUACCGGGAGAAUAAGCUCCGGCUAACUCCGUG
rnacentral:rRNA from 1 species